CUGAACCAAGAGGAGUACUUGAAAGGAAUCGAUAUAUACGUGUCAAUACUAAAGGCGUAUACAUCCUACAUUCCGAACACAAGGGGUGCCAUCUCAAGAGACGAGUUAUGAGGCGUCUCCAUAGUUCAACCUUCAAGAGUUCCUGCCUGCAGUUCUUAUGUUCUCUCUAUGACAUGGCAGGAGUUGUAUAAGUAGGUUUCCACCUAUGUACACUUACUCAAUAACAAGGAAGCCUUGGGAUCUCACAUCCACCUGUGGAGAACACAAGGGGUGCCAUCUCAAGAGACUGAGUUAUGAGGGGUCUCCAUAGUUCAACCUUCAAGAGUUCCUGCCUGCAGUUUUUAUGUUCUCUGUAUGACAUGGCAGGAGUUGUAUUUUUAAGUAGGUUUCCACCUAUGGUCACUUACUCAAUAACAAGGAAGCCUUGGCAUCUCACAUUCACCUGUGGAGAACACUAAUUCCUCAUGUCAGUUUCUGAGCUCUGUAAAAU
rnacentral:lncRNA from 1 species